rnacentral:misc_RNA from 1 species
GAUGAAGAACGCAGCGAAAUGCGAUAAGUAGUGUGAAUUGCAGAAUUCAGUGAAUCAUCGAAUCUUUGAACGCACAUUGCGCCCUUUGGUAUUCCUUAGGGCAUGCCUGUUCGAGCGUCAUUUAAACCUUCAAGCUAAGCUUGGUGUUGGGUGACUGUCCGCUUCACGGCGGACUCGCCUCAAAAUUAUUGGCGGCCGGUACAUUGGCUUCGAGCGCAGCAGAAACGUGAACUCGGGCCCGUCGUAUUGGCUCCCAGAAGCUAUCUUCACAAUUUUGACCUCGGAUCAGGUAGGGAUACCCGCUGAACUUAAGCAUAUCAAUAAGCGGAGGA